CCUUGGCACCUCCUUUAGCAGAAAAACCUGACUGUGUACUUCAAUUCUAUUAUUAAGAGUUCUGUGAUUUGCCAUAGGGGACCAAGAGACUUGGUGAGAAUUCAGACAUCUGCUCACCUCCUGGAUAAGCUCCCAGGACCCCUCUCUCCACAUCUCCUGGCGACACUCAGGCCGUAGCAAAGGGGGCCAGCCUCUGCCCUGGAGUCAGCCUGCAUGCUUUCCAACUGGUUUUCAGAGCAGCAACCCUGCAAAGGAACCAUUAUUACUCCUUCGGAAAGAGGAGGCAGCCGAAGUCUCAGGAGGUGCGGUGACUUGAGCAGAUUCAUACCGCAAAGGUCCUGGCUUGUGAAAUGUGCUGGAAGGGCAGAACAGUGUGCAUAGUAGGCUGCCACUUGUGUGACAAAUUGGCAAGGAAUUCCUGCCUCUACACAGAAGCAUGAUUGCCCCAGCGGAAACCUAUAGGUUUCUAGUUCCCUA